GACGUGGUGGUGUUUGCCUGUAGUCCCAGCUACUCAGGAGGCUGAGGCAGGAGAAUUGCUUGAACCUGGGAGGCGGAGGUUGCAGUGAGCCAAGAUCUCACCACUGCACUCCAGCCUGGGUGACAGAACAAGACUCCAUCUCAAAAAAAAAGAGAAAGAGUGCCAGACUUUUUUUUUUUUUUUGGUAAAGAGACAGGGUCUCACUCCCAUUGCCCAGGCUGGAGUGCAGUGGCGUAAUCACAGCUCAACUGCAGCCUCGACUUCCCCGGCUCAGGUGAUUCUCCCACCUCAGCCUCCCAAGUAGCUGGGACUCAGAUGCGCACCACAAUGCCUGGCUAAUUUUCUGUAUUUUUCGUAAAGAUGGAGUUUUGCCAUAUUUCCCAGGCUAGUCUUGAACUCCUGGGCUCAAGCCAUCGGCCCUCCUCAGCCUCUCAAAGUGCUGGGAUUAUAGGCAUGAGCCACCAUGCCAAACUGUUUUUUAAAGCAGAUAUACCAUUUCGUAUUCCCAUCAGUAACAUAUGGGAUUUCCACAUCCUCUCCAGCACUUGGUAUUGUUUUUUUUCUUUCCCACCUCAGCCUCUCAAGUUGCUGGAACUAGAGGUGCAAAGCACCACACCCAACUAAUUUUUUCUACCAGAAGCAUUCUGUGAUAGAAAGGGCACAGCAUAAGACUUGGAAAGAUUUAGGUUCUCGAUUUCAUCCCUGAGCCAACCAAUCAACACUCCUGAUUCACUGCCCCCU
rnacentral:lncRNA from 1 species